rnacentral:rRNA from 1 species
AACGAACGCUGGCGGCAUGCCUAACACAUGCAAGUCGAACGAGACCUUCGGGUCUAGUGGCGCACGGGUGCGUAACACGUGGGAAUUUGCCUCGGGGUAUGGAAUAACUCAGGGAAACUUGAGCUAAUACCAUAUAAUGUCUUCGGACCAAAGAUUUAUCGCCCUGAGAUAAGCCCGCGUAGGAUUAGCUAGUUGGUGGGGCAAAGGCUCACCAAGGCGACGAUCCUUAGCUGGUCUGAGAGGAUGAUCAGCCACACUGGGACUGAGACACGGCCCAGACUCCUACGGGAGGCAGCAGUGGGGAAUAUUGGACAAAUGGGCGAAAGCCCGAUCCAGCAAUGCCGCGUGAGUGAUGAAGGCCUCGG